AUUGAACGCUGGCGGCAGGCCUAACACAUGCAAGUCGAGCGGAUGAAGGGAGCUUGCUCCUGGAUUCAGCGGCGGACGGGUGAGUAAUGCCUAGGAAUCUGCCUGGUAGUGGGGGAUAACGUCCGGAAACGGGCGCUAAUACCGCAUCCGUCCUGAGGGAGAAAGUGGGGGAUCUUCGGACCUCACGCUAUCAGAUGAGCCUAGGUCGGAUUAGCUAGUUGGUGGGGUAAAGGCCUACCAAGGCGACGAUCCGUAACUGGUCUGAGAGGAUGAUCAGUCACACUGGAACUGAGACACGGUCCAGACUCCUACGGGAGGAAGCAGUGGGGAAUAUUGGACAAUGGGCGAAAGCCUGAUCCAGCCAUGCCGCGUGUGUGAAGAAGGUCUUCGGAUUGUAAAGCACUUUAAGUUGGGAGGAAGGGCAGUAAGUUAAUACCUUGCUGUUUUGACGUUACCAACAGAAUAAGCACCGGCUAACUUCGUG
rnacentral:rRNA from 1 species